rnacentral:piRNA from 1 species
CGGUAGAGCAUCAGACUUUUAAU